AGCCACGUAACAAAAAAAUCAUCUCCCACCCCCAUUCUACAUUUUUUUUCACUCUCUUUUGCACAAAGGCACACACUCUAAUACGCAAGGUGAGAACUCUCCCUUCGGACGAUUCGCUGCUCCUCCGGCGACAGCGAGGAAGCUCACCUCAUCUCCUCCCUGUCUGGAUACCUCUCUACUCACCUACACUCAACACCAUCUCUCUCCGCUGAAUUGUCGUCGUUGUCGACUGCUCUGCAGUUUCCGUCGCCGGUUUCCGACAAUAUUAGAGUAGACUUGUCUUCCCUUUGAGUAAUCCUGGCCUGAGGGAUAGCACGGGGCAAGGAGAAGGCGAAUGAGUAAAGUGAUCUAGUAGCAUUUUGGAUUUUAAGGACGACAGUGCUGCAUCAUCUGAGAUCGCUUGCGUUCUGGAAAACCGAAGCGGGAUCAUUCUGUUAUCUGAGUAUCUGUCUGCACCCUAAAGGGGUGAUCUGAUCUUCUGUCUGCACCCUAAAUGGGUGAUCUGAAUAUCUGUCUGCACCCUAAAUGGGUGAUCUGAAUGGGUGAUUUGUGCGGAGUUCCUUGAGGACAAAAAUCUGCUUAUGUUUCUGAUCUGUUCCGAGUACCCUGGUCUGUCACUAAGCACUUAAAGGGGAUAUAUGUGUUAUGAUUAGUGAUUGUGUAAAACCUCUGUUAUAACUCUGAUAUAUUUGGUACACGAGAUCAGGUUUCGUUAUACGUGUUUUGGAUAUGUGGAAGGUUGAUGAUAUGUAUAUGUUUUGGUGUGUAGAUAUUAGUGUAAAUGAAUAGGUUGCAUAAUGUUUACUCAACUCCGGAAAUUAGACUCUAAUGUUGAGUAUACUACUGGGCUUGUUGAAGCUCAUUCUUUU